rnacentral:misc_RNA from 1 species
AAAACCACGUGACGAUCUCUCGCACGUGACUUACUUUUCAUUUGGUCAUGUCAAAAUUUUGCAAGAUUUUUAGGAUCAUUUUCGUGGUUCAUCUGUUGACAGAUGUGUCGCUGACAGUUCGAUAUGACCCGAAUUGGAAAUCUCUUGAUUCCCGACCCCUGCCGGAUUGGUAUGACGAUGCAAAACUUGGAAUCUUCAUACACUGGGGAGUUUUCUCGGUUCCAAGUUUUUCCUCUGAGUGGUUUUGGUAUGACUGGAAGCAAAGGGGACUGCCUGGCAUUAUUGACUUUAUGCAGAAGAACUACCCCCCAGAUUUCACAUACCCAGACUUUGCGCCUGAGUUUAAAGCAGAGUUUUACAGCCCAAUAGAGUGGGCUAGUCUUUUCAAACAGGCAGGAGCCAAGUAUGUUGUUCUGACUAGCAAACAUCAUGAAGGAUUCACUAACUGGCCAUCCAAAUACUCCUUUAACUGGAAUGCCAAUGACACUGGACCAAACAGAGAUCUUGUUGGUAAGAGCUAGAGGAUAAAGUAAAAACAGGUACAGUGUUAAUACAUGUAUAACCAGAUGCUAGGAUUUUGCCUGUACAUUUGAACAAUGGGGCUUGACAUUUGAUUACUGGGUAUCAUAUGUACUCACUGGUGUUUCCUUUAAGCUCAGGUUUAGUAUGUAUCAAUAGAUUAUACAGUUGAUCUCUAACUCAAGAAUAUUGAUAUCUUGCAUAUGUAUUAAAGUUUUCUGAAAGUCCCCACCACUGGGGUGGUUUUUUUUACCUUAUUAAUAUUAUAACUUCAAUAUAUAUUUCAAAACCUUGAAUAUUUUUUGAUGAUUGUGAGAUUCUGAAGUAUGUACAUAGUACAACAUGUAUAUAAUGGGAAUUUAUAUACUGUAUACAGGUUUAUUUUCACCCCCUGGUAAUUUUCACCAUUCCACACUUGCAAUUAGUUUUUCCCCGUCUUGAAUUUGCCCAGACACAGUUGUAUUUAAAGACAGAUAAUUUGAGACAUUGGAAUUCGCCCAGUCUUUAAUUUGCCCGCUGACAACAAGGGCAAAAGGAGCUAACAUAAUAUGGGAGCAAAUAUUUCCCUGUAUACAGUAUAUGUAGAUAAUACAUCAUGAUUAUUUGUGUAAGUUUCCAUUAAACAGGGGACUUGGCAGAUGCUGUUAGGGAUUACUCUCUAAAGUUUGGACUCUAUCACUCCAUGUUUGAGUGGUUUAAUCCAUUGUACAAAAGUGAUGCAGCAAAUGGCUUCAAAACCCAAAACUUUGUCAAGUCCAAGACCAUGCCGGAGCUGUACGAGAUUGUUCAGAAAUACAAGCCAGAGGUGGUGUGGUCAGACGGGGAUGGGGACGCCCCUGCCGAGUAUUGGACAUCCCAGGAGUUCCUCGCCUGGCUCUAUAAUGACAGUCCUGUGAAGGACACAGUGGUGGUCAAUGACAGAUGGGGGAAGAACAUCUCUUGUCAUCAUGGAGGAUUCUUUACCUGUGCUGACAGGUACAAUCCAGGUAAGCUUCAAACUCAUAAAUGGGAAAAUGCCAUGACAAUAGAUCAUUAUUCAUGGGGAUACCGCAGAAAUGCCCCUCUGAGUAAUUACCUGACGAUUGAGGAACUGCUGAAGACAUUCAUCACCACUGUCAGCUGUGGAGGAAACAUGUUGAUGAAUGUGGGGCCAACAAGUUACGGCAGAAUAGUGCCGAUUAUGGAAGAGAGGCUGAAACAAAUGGGGGAGUGGCUGGGUGUGAAUGGGGAGGCUAUCUAUGGAACGAGACCGUGGUCCCAUCAAAAUGACACUGUCAGUAAGGAUGUAUGGUACACAAAAAAGAAAUCUGCCACAGGAUACACAGUAUAUGCCAUUCUUCUACAGUGGCCAAAAGCAGGAACUCUUACCCUUGGGGCACCCCAAACAACAACAGCCACAGUAGUAUCACUGCUUGGUUAUCAAGGGAACUUCAACUGGAGCAAGGGGCCCAUAGGGGGGAUUGAAAUUAAGUUUCCCCUUAUUGGUUGGAAUAUGAUGCCAUGUAAAUGGGCCUGGGUAUUAAAGCUAGAUGGAAUAAGCAAUUGACUCAUCUAAGUGAUGAUUGAUGACAGCCAGGGUGGUUUUUAUCCUUGCUGGUAUUUUUUUAUUGCUUUUUUUAAUUUUUUUUACUUUUAAAUACUAUAAUCUGUCCCAAGAUAUCCUCGAUUCAUGUUUUGCUUAUUUACGGUACUUGAUAUUUGUAAAUGCCUCAAGGUGCAAAAAGAUGUUCAAUCAAAAGUAUGAAAAAUUUCUGAGAUUUCUCCUUUGAAACACCCUCUCUAGCUUAACAGGUUUCAAUACAUGGCUAAAAAAUAUAUGUCUCUUUCACAAGUAUGUGUAUUUUUUAUUCAGAAUCCUCCAAAUGUGCUGCAUAAAUAUCUUGGGACAAACUAUAGUACAAUUAUUCUUGUUUAUUAGAAUUAAGAGAUACGAUAUACAUUGUAAAUGCAAUAAAUAAGAAUUGCAAAGAAUUCUUAUAUUUUGUGAUAAACAGCCAUUUUUAUAGAGAUAGAUUUUUGUACAAUUUUUAAUACUUUCUUGAAAAUAUCACUAGGCCUUUAUAAGGUUAAAGUUGAUGUGAAAACCAUUCCAUAUUAUGCAUUUAUUUUAUUACGGGGUAUGUACAUGUAAGCAUGUUUGUGAUUUGUGCUGUUGGUUUUCUAUUUUUUGAAAGAUUUGUCUCUUUUGUCUCAUUUUACUCAGUGAACCUAGAUUGAAUGUUAUGUAGUGUUUUUUUGUGUGCAUGUUCAGUGUGUGACACAUUCAAUUAUUACAUUCCAUGUUUUUCAAGAUUUUUUAUAUGCAAAAAUGACACAAACCCAAUGUUGAAAGUGAACAAAAUAAACAGAAUGUGUAUAUAUAUGUACAUCAUUAUGCAAUGUAAUUUUUUUUAAGGGCCCAAAACUAUAAGGUCUCGAUACUCUGUAUUGCGUAAUGUGUAUUGCAUUUUGACUGUGAUAACUGUCAGAUGACUUGAAAUCCAUCAAGUGUUGUUUGUAAAUGCUCAACUUUUUUUUCUUAUACCACAUUGCAGAUAUUUUUGUACAUAGACAUGUUAUAUGAAUGUCAUUUACGUGUAAGUAAAAUAUUUAAUUCUUGC